UGGAGGGCGAUGGUGGCGGAGCUGCUGGGGGCGGAGGCAACGUAGCCCCCGAGGAAAAGGAGCUCUGCCUCGCCUGAGAGGAGCGGAGGAUGGAGAGCCGGCCUGGGUCCUUCCAGUACGUCCCCGUGCAGCUGCAAGGGGGGGCGCCCUGGGGCUUCACCCUGAAGGGGGGUCUGGAACACUGCGAACCGCUCACAGUGUCUAAGGCUAAAGAACCCCAGCAACUUCAGCUAUUCCUUAUGGCAUCUGAGAUCCAGCCUUCUCUCCUGCUUCCUCCUCCUACUUUGGAUGUCGCCUGUCCAUGUUUCUCUUGAAUUAUGGACCCUGCAGCCAAAUACAAUAGCUGAGGAGAAUCUGACCAGAAGGAUGAUUCUUUAAAAAAAAAAUACAACUGAAGACCA